rnacentral:rRNA from 1 species
GACGAAGUGUCCUAACGUUGUUCGGAAUCACUGGGCUUACAGGGCGCGUAGGCGGUCCGACAAGUCAGGGGUGAAAUCCCACAGCUUAACUGUGGAAGUGCCUUUGAUACUGUCGGUCUGGAGGGAGAUAGGGGUGUGCGGAACUUCCAGUGGAGCGGUGAAAUGCGUUGAUAUUGGAAGGAACGCCGGAGGCGAAAGCGGCGCACUGGAUCUCUACUGACGCUGAGGCGCGAAAGCUAGGGGAGCAAACGGG